rnacentral:lncRNA from 1 species
CCUCACUCAGACUUGAGUUGUUAACAUCCUUAUCAUUAAUAAUGGUUUUGUAUCAAUGCUAUAGCUUACCUGUAUGAAAAGAGCCCAAGAUUAAUCAAUAAUACCAAAUAUUAUAUAUAAAAAUCAAUCCGCAAAGGUACUUGAACAUAUAGAGCAUGAAAACCAAGGGGUAUCAAAUUGUCCAGUCAAAAUCAAGAAAAUACUUAUUACUAGUACACUUUCAUUUUGAACCAGACCAUCUUGCAGGCAAUUGCACCUAUUUAAAACUACUUCUCUUGAUACAGAACAUACAUAUGAUUAAAUUAUAACACUUACCUUCUUUCAGAAGAAUCUUCUGUUUCAAAAUGAAUUUUAAACCGUAUUCCACAGGAAAACGAAUGUAUAAGGGCUCUUGGAGAACUUAUGAUAAGGUAUGAUAAUCUCGGAUGAAUGAGCCCUGUAUAACAUACUCAAAUUUCAGAGGUAUCCUCAACUGGAAAAAGAAGUCAUCAAAAUGCAAUGAUGUACAUCAACUCAUAAAGAAAACACCAAGACAAAUAAAUCUUGACGGAAAUGAUUGAAACACGGAGACUCCAGUAAUUACCUCAUCAACAAAAUCUUGCGCAUAAAAGAGAUGCUCGGAUAUUGGUUGAUGAGAUUCAGUUGUUCCUACGUAAAAUAGAGCAGCAACCUGAAAUAAGACCAACCUGUAACAACCAAAAUUAAUUCAAUGAUAACAAAGAAUUGUGGACCUUAAGGCUAUUAUAUUCAGAACACUAUUAUAUGCAUACCUCCUGAUAUUGAUGACUUCAA